UACGGAGGGUGCAAGCGUUAAUCGGAAUUACUGGGCGUAAAGCGCACGCAGGUGGCUGAGAAAGUCGAUUGUGAAAGCCCUGGGCUUAACCUGGGAAUUGCAGUCGAAACUACUCGGCUAGAGUAUGGGAGAGGGUAGUGGAAUUCCCGGUGUAGCGGUGAAAUGCGUAGAUAUCGGGAGGAACAUCAGUGGCGAAGGCGGCAUCCUGGACCGGUAUUGACGCUGAGGCGCGAAAGCCAGGGGAGCAAACGGG
rnacentral:rRNA from 1 species